UCCUGCAUAAACUCGACCAUGCGUGUCGCCUUGCCAACCGCAAUCGGCAAAACACCCACCACAUCCGGAUCCAAGGUUCCACCAUGACCAAUUUUCUUGGUUCCCAAAAUCUUACGCAGUUUAAAAACUGCAUCAUGCGAGGUCAUUCCUGCUUCCUUUUUUAAGUUAAUAAUACCGUUCAUUUUUGCUUUCUACUCCCCCUUCAGUGCUUCGAACUUCGCUUUCAUGGUUGGAUUUUUCCGGGUCAAUUUUUUAACAGAGACAUCUUCCAAUUUGUUGUUAGCUAGACGGAGUUGGUUUUCAGAUGUAGUCAGGAAUUUCUUAACCUCUUCCAUGCGUUUGAUGGCCUUGUCGAUUUCAUCAAUAGCUUUUCCAAAGUUAGUCGAAGCUGAAUUAUAGUUCUUAGCAAAAGCUAGCUUAAAGGCAUCCAAAUCUUCCUCAAAAUGCGUAAUGUCAAUAUUUUGCUCGCGAACCAAGGCCAACUCCUGCUUGUAUUUUAGGGAAUUUAGCGCCGCAUUACGUAAGAGACCAAUCAAUUGGAUAAAGAAUUGAGGACGAACAACAUACAUUUUUUCAUACUCGUGACUGACGUCAACAAUCCCUGUGUUAAAGUAGUCAUUAUCAGCCUCAAGCAUGGUCACCAAAACGGCAUACUCACAGUUCUUCUCCCGACGGUCCUUGUCCAAUUCCUUGUAAAAAUCUGCAUUCUUGUGCUUCUUCUCUGUUCCGUCCGCUUCGUUUUUCAUCUCAAACAUGAUAGAAAUGAUUUCAACUCCAUUUUCAUCACACUCACGGAAGAUAAAGUCCCCUUUAGACCCACGCGAAGAGACCUUGUUAUCCUUCUCAAAGUAAGCAUUUGGAAAGGCGAAACUACGAACCUUGUUAAACUCACUCUCUGCAUACUGUUCUAGGCUUUCCCCAAUCGCUUUUGUAGAUUGUUGAGCCUUAAAAUUCUUAUAAAACUCGACUUGUUCACUAGCUGCCUUGAGCUGGGCUUCGUAGUUUUGCUUAACAGAAGCCAAAGAUAAUUCAUUUUCCUUUUCCUGCAAAAGUAGUUGGUUUUUAACCUGAUCCCGUUCUUUUUCUAGGUCAGAAAGGGUCUUUUGUAGUUGAUUUUCAUGCUCCAAACGCAAGGUAGCCAACUGAUUUUCUAAGAGCUGUACUUCCUUGUCCUUAGCCAAUAAGGCCUGAUGGCUUGUCUGUUCAACUUCUUUCUUGGCCAAUUCUUUUUCUGUAUCAAAGUUUUGGAUUUGACUCUGUAAUUGCGCAAUUUCUUGAUCCUUCUGAGCCAGUUUAGUCUGUUGCUCAUUCAUGGCCUUUUGCUCAGCCAAGGCCAGUUCCUGCUUCAUCCUAUCGUGUAGUUCCUUAUCAAACUCUGCCGUUCUCACUUGGGACAAGAGUUCGGCAUACUGACUCUCAUUUACUGUAAAGACUUCCCCACAGUUGGGACAUUUGAUUUCGUUCAUAUCGUUCCUCUUUCUAGACUUCUUUAACCAUUAUAUCAUGCCUGAGGGAAAAUCAAAAACAGUGAGUCGAAGCCCACUGUUUAUCUUCUUUUACUUUAAAUUUUUUCCAAGGCCAAGCGCAAGUCUUCAAUCAAAUCUUCUACAUUUUCAAGACCGAUUGACAAACGAAUUUAGUUUGGUGUGACACCUGCUGCUUCUAGGUCUUUUUCUGACAAUUGACCGUGAGUGGUUGUUGCUGGAUGGACAACAAGCGAUUUAGCAUCUGCCGCGUUUGCAAGGUCAGAAAAGAUUUCUAAAUUAUCAAUGACCUUGCGUGCUUCUUCCUCGCCACCUUUGACGUGGAAGGUAAAGAUUGAACCGACACCUUUUGGCAAGUAUUUCUCAGCCAAGGCAUGAUAAGGACUAUCUGCAAGUUUUGGAUAAUUUACCUUUUCUACCUUAGGAUGGUUGACAAGAAAAUCAACAAUUGUCUCAGCAUUUUGUACAUGGCGUUCCACACGAAGUGAAGAGGUUUCAAGUCUUUGUAGCAAGAGGAAAGCAUUGAAUGGUGACAAGGCUGCACCUGUAUCACGAAGCAAUUGAACUCGAACAGCUAUAAUAAAGGCUGCUGCACCCACAUCACGAGUAUAGCUCAAAUUGUGGCAGCUUGGACCCUCGUCAACAAAUUGAGGGAAUUUCCCUGAAGCCGUCCAGUCAAAACGACCACUAUCGACAAUUAUUCCUCCAAUAGUUGUACCAUGCCCACCGAUAAACUUAGUCACAGAGUGAAUGGCAAUGUCAACGCCAUGAGAGAAGACGUUAAUCAAAUAAGGUGUUGCAAAAGUAUUGUCUGACACAAGUGGGAUUUGAUGUUUAUGAGCAAUCUCUGCCAGUUUUUCCAGGUCUGGAAUAUUAAUCAAGGGGUUACCCAAGGUUUCAAUCAAGACAAGCUUGGUAUUGUCUUUGAUAGCUGCUUCUACUUCCUCCAAAUUAUCAAUAUCGAAAAAGGUUGUUGUGAUACCAUAACGAGGAAGGGGUUCUUUCAAAAGAUUGAAGGUUCCACCGUAAAUAGUCGAAGCAGCCACUACAUGGUCACCAGCAUGGGCAAUCGCCAAAAUAGUAUAAGUCACUGCAGUCAUACCUGAUGCUGUUGCUAGCGCUUCAACACCACCUUCAAGGGCAGCUGUUGUAGGAUUGGUGAUACGAGUAUAAAUGUUCCCUGGUUUCCUCAAGGCAAACAGAUCGGCACCUUCCUACGUGUCAUCAAAAACAAAAAAUGUUGUUUGAUAAAUCGGCACUGCACGAGACUUAGUAGCUGGAGCCACAACUUGACCAGCAUGUAGUUGUAGAGUUUCAAAUUUAAAAUCACAAGUCAUAAGGUGACCUCCAUAUUAUUUUAUUAAGGAUAUUGUAGCACCUUGAGUUAUAGUUUACAAAUAUCAGUUUUCUAUAUUUUGAUAUAAGAAAUAGCUAUUACCUUAUUUUGAAAAUGAAAAAAGCACGACUCAAUCGUGCUCAUUUUCUUAAUCUACAUAAGUAUCUUCGUUUUUAUUGAGGAAGGCAUAUGGAAGACCCAUCAAGAGGCCUCCUCCGAUAAAGUUUCCGAUGAAAGUCACACCCCAGUGGCGAAGCAUAUUUCCAACACCGAAGUUGGCAAUUGAAUCCGCAGCAACACUGAAUUUCACAAUCGCGAAAGAAGCAAAGUUCGCCGCAAUGUGCUCGUUUGUUAAGAAUACAAACAUGUAAAUAGCUGACAACACAAGCCAAAGUUUGGCACCACCAUCUUUGACCAAAAUAAAUGACAGAAUCGCAAUAUUUACAAAAAUAUUUGCCAAAAUCGCCUCAAGCAAGACCAAUUCAUUUGAGCGGCCUAACUUCAUCUCAACAACACCUGAGAUGAAACUAUCGUGUGUCAGAUUCGCAUAGGCUGCCGAAUGAGCAAAGCCCCACCCUGCUAUCAAGGCUCCGAUAAGGUUGAACAAGGUACAGUAUAGUAAAAUCUCAGCUGUUUUUCUCCAAGAGAUUUUUUUUAAGAAACUACCAGCAGUCAAGAACAUCAUGUUUGAAGUGACCAACUCGGCAUUCAAAAAAACAAUGUAGGCCAAGCCCCAAGCAAAAACGAAUGGAAAGAGGAAGCGUCCACUACCUGGUGCAAUUUUAUUAAUCAAGUCAGCCCCAACUGCACCUGCAGCAGUACUGAAGGUUAAAAAUGCACCUGCGAACAUCGAACGAAUCGCAUACUUAAAUUUGCUUUGACUAUAAAGACUUUCUUUCUUAUUGCAAGCAAAUUCAAUCUUUGAGAUAAAUUCCGAAGAAACCAUAAUAAACUCCUAAAUCUUUUUUCUUGAUAAUUAUAUCACAAACUUUAGGUUUUAGGAAGCGUUUUCUGUAUUUCAUAAAAGUUUAUAGUAGAUUGAAACUAGAAUAGUACACCUCUACUUCUAAAACAUUGUUAGAAAUCGAUUUGACUGUCCUGAUCGAUUUGUCCUNUGCUGACUUUAAGUCAGCCGCAGUGAAUAGGCCCAAGCAACUGUUUAUCAAAAACACAGCUCUCUGCUAAAUCGUAAGAUGAUGUAUAGGGGGUGACGCCUGCCCGGUGCUGGAAGGUUAAGAGGAGUGCUUAGCGUAAGCGAAGGUAUGAAUUGAAGCCCCAGUAAACGGCGGCCGUAACUAUAACGGUCCUAAGGUAGCGAAAUUCCUUGUCGGGUAAGUUCCGACCCGCACGAAAGGCGUAAUGAUUUGGGCACUGUCUCAACGAGAGACUCGGUGAAAUUUUAGUACCUGUGAAGAUGCAGGUUACCCGCGACAGGACGGAAAGACCCCAUGGAGCUUUACUGCAGUUUGAUAUUGAGUGUCUGUACCACAUGUACAGGAUAGGUAGGAGUCUAAGAGAUCGGGACGCCAGUUUCGAAGGAGACGCUGUUGGGAUACUACCCUUGUGUUAUGGCCACUCUAACCCAGAUAGGUGAUCCCUAUCGGAGACAGUGUCUGACGGGCAGUUUGACUGGGGCGGUCGCCUCCUAAAAGGUAACGGAGGCGCCCAAAGGUUCCCUCAGAAUGGUUGGAAAUCAUUCGCAGAGUGUAAAGGUAUAAGGGAGCUUGACUGCGAGAGCUACAACUCGAGCAGGGACGAAAGUCGGGCUUAGUGAUCCGGUGGUUCCGUAUGGAAGGGCCAUCGCUCAACGGAUAAAAGCUACCCUGGGGAUAACAGGCUUAUCUCCCCCAAGAGUUCACAUCGACGGGGAGGUUUGGCACCUCGAUGUCGGCUCGUCGCAUCCUGGGGCUGUAGUCGGUCCCAAGGGUUGGGCUGUUCGCCCAUUAAAGCGGCACGCGAGCUGGGUUCAGAACGUCGUGAGACAGUUCGGUCCCUAUCCGUCGCGGGCGUAGGAAAUUUGAGAGGAUCUGCUCCUAGUACGAGAGGACCAGAGUGGACUUACCGCUGGUGUACCAGUUGUCUUGCCAAAGGCAUCGCUGGGUAGCUAUGUAGGGAAGGGAUAAACGCUGAAAGCAUCUAAGUGUGAAACCCACCUCAAGAUGAGAUUUCCCAUGAUUAUAUAUCAGUAAGAGCCCUGAGAGAUGAUCAGGUAGAUAGGUUAGAAGUGGAAGUGUGGCGACACAUGUAGCGGACUAAUACUAAUAGCUCGAGGACUUAUCCAA
rnacentral:rRNA from 1 species